CCCCGGCCUGCGGUGGGCAGCAGCUCAGGUUCUCCAAAUCAUUGCGUAGUUCCGAAUACCCUCGGCCACACCUGGCCUUCUCCAUGCUCGGAAUAACUUCCUGCAGCGACCAACAGGCUAAAGAGGGGGAAGAAUUUUAAAUCCAAGCUGGGUUUCAUCAACUGGGAUGCCAUAAACAAGGACCAGAGAAGCUCUCGCAUCCCGUGACCUCCAGACAAGGAGCCACCAGAUUGGAUGGGAGCCCCCACACUCCCUCCUUAAAACACCACCCUCUCAUCACUAAUCUCAGCCCUUGCCCUUGAAAUAAACCUUAGCUGCCCCAC
rnacentral:lncRNA from 1 species